rnacentral:rRNA from 1 species
GACGAACGCUGGCGGCGUGGAUUAGGCAUGCAAGUCGAACGGUAGGAUACCUUCGGGUAUCUGAGAGUGGCGAACGGGGUGAGUAACACGUAGGUGAUCUACCCUCAAGAUUGGGACAACCCAGGGAAACUUGGGCUAAUACCGGAUGAAAGCAGCAGUGAUGUUGUUUGAAAGGUGGCGUAAGCUGCCGUUUGGGGAUGAGCCUGCGCUCUAUUAGUUAGUUGGCGGGGUAAAGGCCCACCAAGGCGAUGAUAGAUAGGCGGCCUUAACGGGUGGUCGCCCACACUGGGAUUGAGAUACGGCCCAGACUCCUACGGGAGGCAGCAGUCGAGAAUAGUCUACAAUGGCCGAAAGGCUGGAUAGUGCGACGCCGCGUGAACGAAGAAGCCCUUCGGGGUGUAAAGUUCUUUUAUAUGUGAGCAGUGCUUUCUAUGUGAACAGCAUGGGGAGAGAGAUAUUAGCAUAUGAAUAAGCUAACGGCUAACUACCGUGCCCAG